UACGUAGGCAGCGAGCGUUGUUCGGAGUUACUGGGCGUAAAGAGUGCGUAGGCGGUUUUCUAAGUUUGGUGUGAAAUCUCCCGGCUUAACUGGGAGGGUGCGCCGAAGACUGGAAGGCUUGAGUAUGGGAGAGGUAAGCGGAAUUCCUGGUGUGGCGGUGAAAUGCGUAGAUAUCAGGAGGAACACCUGCGGUGUAGACGGCUUACUGGACCAUAACUGACGCUGAGGCACGAAAGCGUGGGUAGCAAACAGG
rnacentral:rRNA from 1 species